AUUGAACGCUGGCGGCAGGCUUAACACAUGCAAGUCGAACGGAACCUUCGGGUUUAGUGGCGAACGGGUGAGUAAUACCUAGGAAUCUGCCUAUUAGUGGGGGAUAACGGCUCGAAAGGGUCGCUAAUACCGCAUACGUCCUACGGGAGAAAGAGGGGGAUCUUCGGACCUCUUGCUAAUAGAUGAGCCUAGGCCGGAUUAGCUAGUUGGUAGGGUAAAGGCCUACCAAGGCGACGAUCCGUAGCUGGUCUGAGAGGAUGAUCAGCCACACUGGAACUGAGACACGGUCCAGACUCCUACGGGAGGCAGCAGUGGGGAAUAUUGGACAAUGGGCGCAAGCCUGAUCCAGCAAUGCCGCGUGUGUGAAGAAGGCCUGCGGGUUGUAAAGCACUUUCAGUGGGGAAGAACAGGUUCGGGUCAAUACCCCGGAGCCCUGACGUUACCCACAGAAGAAGCACCGGCUAACUCCGUG
rnacentral:rRNA from 1 species